rnacentral:rRNA from 1 species
CCCUAGUAUUUAUAAUGUAAUGGAAGAGUAAUUGGAUUGGGAAUUAAAAAAUUUGGCAGUUAAUUUUUAGUUAGAGGAGCUUGUUGAAGAGAGAAUUUGCUCUUUUUAUUUAUAUAAUAAAAUUUGUUUAUUCAUCUCCGUUAUAAAAGAUUAGUUAAAAAAAUAAAUAUUUGAAUUUCAGGUCAAGAUGUAGUAUAUUUAUUGUAAAAAAUUAGCUACAAUUAUAAAAUAUUUGGAACUUUUUAGUCAGAAGGAGGGAAAUUGAAUUUAAUUGUAAUUAUAUUUAUAAAAGUAUAAUGAUUUUUGUUUAUUAAUGUA